GUUACUGUGGCAGCGGGCAUCCCAGGGUGCGUGCGGUGCAGGGUGUGCAAGAAAAUGCGAGGUUGGAGGAGGAGGUCUGUGUGUUUUUAAGGAUUGUGUGGAGUUGUGAGGUGGCGGAGUAGGGCGGGAGAAAGAGCGGAGAGUGUGAACUGCAGUUUCCGCUUUGCGGAAGGUUGCAGCUGCUGCUGCAGAUUGGCACCUGCCAUUCCCCCAAAACCAUGGGAAACUGCCUCGAGACAGGGCUAUCUUGCCUUUCUGGUGUCUUUUCAUUUGAGGGUGAGAGGAUGAAAUGGAAAAUUGGGCGGUGAUAGCAGCGUUUUCUUUGAUCAAACUGAAAAGAGUACGGAGCAAAGUAGAAUCCUGUCCUGAAACGUGGAAACGCACAACAAAUAACAAUGAGGAGGAGAAGGAGAUUAGGAUCAUUUUAUCAGUCCCCUAUUUCUGCGGACACUCAUUUAUAUUUUUUUUCUAGCAAAAGUCUGGAGGAAGUAUUACUGAAAUAGGGGGAGGGGCCAAGCGGCGACUAAGGAACCUGAAAUGACAGAGAUUUGUUCGUACAUUCCCCGCCCCACCCCCAAAAAACCUCGUUUAAUUGUAGUCAUUGGUUGUCUUUGGUUUCUCAUAACAUUCAAACUUCUCAUGUUUUUUUCCCCUUCACUGAAUCUGAGCUUUUGCUCAUAUUUCCCUUGAUGAAAUAAUUGCCGGUUUAGUAUACAGUUGGGAGUGCAUCGGUCUUUAUUUCCUAUCCAGCUUUUCUAUGGCAGGAUGUAACUUCAUAAAAAGAAACACUUUGGCUUCCUGAUUUUCUUUAUAGGUAAUUCCUGUUUACUGAAAGUUCUGCUUUAAGGCAUACUCAGAAUCGCUCUCCUUAAUGAUUUUGGCAAGAACCCUACCUUCCCCCUCAGCAAAUCUAAUGUUCUAAGAAAUUAUAAGUGAAUCAGCUUCUGCUUCUGUGCUCAAAAUCUAUAAUAUUGCCUUUCCGGCCCACUACUUGUUUUUACUGUAGUUUAAAAAAAUCUGUCCCUUUUGCUGACUUUUUUCUUUUUGUACACACUACUUUUUAAGAAAAGUUGCUAACAUUUAUUAAAUGAUCUGCAUCCUAUGGAGGAGGAAACUGAGGAAAAGAAAAGUUAAGUAACUAACUCAAGGUGACAGUAUACAGAGGUUACUGGAUUUUUUUCCUUUUCCUUAAACAAAAUGACAAAUUAAACCAUGUUUAAAUUGUGUCUGGAAAUUCCAUAAUCCCAAGAAAUGGAACCAUAGCUAGGACUAGGAUAUUUCCAUACAAGAGAAAGCCAGCUUCAUUUAGCCAAGAAUUGCUUAUCUCAAGAGCAGAGGCUCUUCGUCCUCAGGGCUAGUCCGCAAUGGCUGCUCUGGGUUUAUUUGGAUUGGGAUGCAGAGGCAGUUGGGUAGAGCAAUGGUUCUCAAACUUUGACAUGUAUCAGAAAUAACUGAAGGGGCUUGCUUAAACAUGAAUUGCUGUGUUUAACCACCUGAGGUUCUGAUUUAGGGGGUUUGGGAUGGUGCCCAAGAAUUUGCACAUUUAGCAAGUUCCCAGGUGAUGUUGAUACAGCCAAUCUGGAGACAGCACCUUGAGGACCAUAGUUCUAGAAUUGGGCUGUCCGAGGAGGUAGCCACUAGCCACAUGACUGUUAAGUACUUGAAAUGUACUUCAGUAUUGGAAAUUUGGCUACUGCAAAUUAGGAUGUGCUGUAAAUGUAAAAGAUGUAUUAGAUAUUUCAGAUCAAGCAUGAAAAAUGGAAUGUAAAGUAUCCCAUUUUAAUAUUGAUUACAUGUUAAAAUGAUAGUCUAAAUGUACUGUGCUAAAUAAAACAUUAUUAGAGUUAAUUAAAUUGUUUCUUUUAUUUUUU
rnacentral:lncRNA from 1 species